ACUCCUACGGGAGGCAGCAGUGGGGAAUAUUGCACAAUGGGGGAAACCCUGAUGCAGCCAUGCCGCGUGUGUGAAGAAGGCCUUCGGGUUGUAAAGCACUUUCAGUAGGGAGGAAGGUAGUGUAGUUAACACCUGCACUAUUUGACGUUACCUACAGAAGAAGCACCGGCUAACUCCGUGCCAGCAGCCGCGGUAAUACGGAGGGUCCAAGCGUUAUCCGGAAUCACUGGGUUUAAAGGGUGCGUAGGCGGAUAACUAAGUCUAAGGUGAAAGUCUGUGGCUUAACUAUAGAAUUGCCUUGGAUACUGGUUAUCUUGAAUUGGGUUGAGGAUGGCGGAAUGUGACAUGUAGCGGUGAAAUGCAUAGAUAUGUCAUAGAACACCGAUUGCGAAGGCAGCCAUCUGGGCCUUGAUUGACGCUGAGGCACGAAAGCGUGGGGAGCGAACAGGAUUAGAUACCCUGGUAGGAUAG
rnacentral:rRNA from 1 species